UGACUUGUAGCCUGAAUUCCAGACCUGCCACAUGGCAGCAUUCACCCUCCAAAGAUGAGACACUAGCUCAGUAAUCUAUUACUGGCAAUAGCGGCGGAGUGCCAAUCGUGAAGUGGAGAAUUGUGCCUUAGACAGCACAUAUAACACAGUGUUUGCAGCAGUGCAGAAAUUAACAAUACAACCCUCAGGUGUAGGUUUGAUACUAGGCUCUUUUUAUUAUGGGAGCCAUAACCUUUUUGGCUUCACCCAUUGUUUGGACUGGAAGGAGACAGAAUUCCUUAGCCACUGUAGAAU